CCUACGUGAGGCAGCAGUGAGGAAUAUUGGUCAAUGGGCGCGAGCCUGACCCAGCCAAGUAGCGUGAAGGAUGACUGCCCUACGGGUUGUAAACUUCUUUUAUAAAGGAAUAAAGUGAGGCACGUGUGCCUUUUUGUAUGUACUUUAUGAAUAAGGAUCGGCUAACUCCGUGCCAGCAGCCGCGGUAAUACGGAGGAUCCGAGCGUUAUCCGGAUUUAUUGGGUUUAAAGGGAGCGUAGAUGGGUUGUUAAGUCAGUUGUGAAAGUUUGCGGCUCAACCUUAAAAUUGCAAUUGAUACUGGCAGCCUUGAGUACAGUUGAGGUAGGCGGAAUUCGUGGUGUAGCGGUGAAAUGCUUAGAUAUCACGAAGAACCCCGAUUGCGAAGGCAGCCUGCCAAGCCAUGACUGACGCUGAUGCACGAAAGCGUGGGGAUCAAACAGGAUUAGAUACCCGUGUAGUC
rnacentral:rRNA from 1 species